GCGGGGUUAGCUCAGCUGGGAGAGCGUCAGACUGAAGUCCAACUUCAGGGUUCUAAAAUCUGAAGGCCGUGCGUUCGAUCCGCACACACCGCA
rnacentral:tRNA from 1 species